GAUGAAGAACGUAGCAAAAUGCGAUACUUGGUGUGAAUUGCAGAAUCCCGCGAAUCAUCGAGUUUUUGAACGCAAGUUGCGCCCGAAGCCAUUCGGCCGAGGGCACGUCUGCCUGGGUGUCACGCAUCGUUGCCCCCCCAAACUCCGGUUCGGGCGGGGCGGAAGUUGGCCUCCCGUGCGUGCCUGCGCGCGCGGUUAGCCCAAAAGCGAGUCCUCGGCGAUGAGCGCCACGACAAUCGGUGGUUUUUUUACCCUCGUUCCUCGUCGUGCGUGCCCCGUCGCCCGAACGCGCUCUUGCAACCCUUACGCGUCGCCUCGGUGGCGCUCCCAACGCGACCCCAGGUCAGGCGGGACUACCCGCUGAGUUUAAGCAUAUCAAUAAGCGGAGGA
rnacentral:misc_RNA from 1 species